rnacentral:rRNA from 1 species
GAUGAACGCUGGCGGCGUGCCUAAUACAUGCAAGUCGAGCGAACGGACGAGAAGCUUGCUUCUCUGAUGUUAGCGGCGGACGGGUGAGUAACACGUGGAUAACCUACCUAUAAGACUGGGAUAACUUCGGGAAACCGUAGCUAAUACCGGAUAAUAUUUUGAACCGCAUGGUUCAAAAGUGAAAGACGGUCUUGCUGUCACUUAUAGAUGGAUCCGCGCUGCAUUAGCUAGUUGGUAAGGUAACGGCUUACCAAGGCAACGAUGCAUAGCCGACCUGAGAGGGUGAUCGGCCACACUGGAACUGAGACUCGGUCCAGACUCCUACGGGAGGCAGCAGUAGGGAAUCUUCCGCAAUGGGCGAAAGCCUGACGGAGCAACGCCGCGUGAGUGAUGAAGGUCUUCGGAUCGUAAAACUCUGUUAUUAGGGAAGAACAUAUGUGUAAGUAACUGUGCACAUCUUGACGGUACCUAAUCAGAAGGCCACGGCUAACUACGUG